CUAAGCAAGUCAUAAGGCCGCCCAGAUGGAAAGCCUGGCUCAACGGAUCUCUCGACAGGAAGAGCUGCGAAGUGACAUCAGAAAGUGCACAGAAACAGGGAGGGGGGAAGAACUGCGGUGGCUAGUUUUGCAGUCACUGCAGUGACUCAUAUACAUGUGUGAGGUUGAGAUCGGAUGACUCUAAGGAUCCUGGGGCAACAAGGGAAGUUAGAUAAUUGAGGAAAAUUAAGGUCGUACAACACCUCAUGAAACAAAGGUUAAUUUGCUGAAAACGCUACUGUGUUUCUCCUACAGUCCUCUCAAAAUCUGGAGCCAGUCUGGCGAGGGCAGUGAGACAUGCAGGCAGGUUUCACCACCCAAGCUGGCAGGACGAUGGGACAGGAAGCCUGAUGAGGGGAUCGGCCUCCAGGACACGGCUUUACCAAGUCUGAGGUGCUGGUACAGGCUGGCGGGAGAUAGAAAGUCUUCUAAGGAGUCAGCAAGUUGAAGAGCAGGUGGAAAUGGGUCGUUAGGUCAGAUGACAUUUGAGUAGGAUGAAGGCUCGAGCUUUGUAAAUACCGAGCAACCACCAUAUUGUUUUGCUCUAUGUGGUUGGCAGCAUGUUGCUGUGCUGGGGACACCUGCUAAGGUUCCAAGGUGAUCCUGGAAAAUGACUCAACCGUGAACUGGGGAGACAUUUCAGUACUUUAAAAAGGUGUAUUAAGUUCUUGACAUAGUGCCUGACCCAUAGUAAGAUCACCACAAAUGACAGCCAUUUAGUUAUUAUUACUAUUUUUGGUUUAGCUAUAAUUCUGCAUAUUGGAUGUUUUUGAUUUUCAUCUCUCUCCUCACCAAGAUGCUCCAUCGCCAUGAGAAGUGCCGUCAGUCAGAGGAGUUGACUAAGGAUCUGAAGAGAAAGAGAAACUGAUGCUGUUGGCUCGUACCUGUGCCACCUUGAGUCUCUUAAGAUCACCUGAUAGAGGAGGAAGAUUGUCCAGCCAACAGAUGGGUUGGCUCCGUAAGCAGGCACAAGCCCAAACUGGAAUGCCGCUGCAUUGCAGCCCCUCGCAGGGGCCGAAAGACAGUGGUAAGGAAGGCUCUGCAAUGGACUGAACUUCAGAAAGUGUGCCCGGCCAUUUACUUCAUCUACUUCAUGUGCAAGAAGAGG